CAUGAUGAUUCACACUGCUGAAAAGCCGUUUUCAUGUGUGACCUGUGAAAAAAGUUUUCGUGACAAACUUAGUUUAACUCAGCACAUGAUGAUUCACACUGGUGAAAAGCCGUUUUCAUGUAUGAACUGUGGACAAAGUUUUAGUCGAAAACUUAGUUUAACUCGGCACAUGAUGAUUCACACUGGUGAAAAGCUGUAGAAGUAUUUUCCAUACAUGUCCUAUAUUGAAGUUCACUAUAGAAUUGAUUUGGUCAAAACUAGAAUGACAGACUGGAGGCGUUUCAUGUCUAUAUAGCUGAAAAUUGUUGUAUUUGUUAAAAUUGAUCAUUUGGAUCUUCACAUUUGGAUUGUUAGAGAUGUGCAACCAUGACACAUUUUCCUUCAGAGCUUUGUUGUUUUUUUCUGCCAUAUUCUGUAUCAAAAACAAUAAUGAUAAACUGUAUUUUGUUGUAUGAAUAUCCUGUUUGUGUCAAACUGUAUGUUGUGUGU